rnacentral:lncRNA from 1 species
UGUGUGUGUGUGUGUGUGUGUGUGUGUGUGUGUGUGUGUGUGUGUGUGUGUGUGUGUGUGUGUGUGUGUGUGUGUGUGUGUGUGAGAGUGGCUAGAGUCCAGUGUAUGUGUGUGUGUUUAAGUGGCUAGAGUCCAGUGAGUGUGUGUGGCUAGAGUCCAGUGUGUGAUUGUGUGUGUGUGAGAGAGAGAGUGGUUAGAGUCCAGUGUGUGUGUGUGAGAGAGAGUGGGUGGAUGUGUGUGUGUGUGUGUGAGAGUGGGUGGAGUCCAGUGUGUGUGUGUGUGUGGGUGGAGUCCAGUGUGUGUGUGUGAGAGUGGGUGGAGUCCAGUGUGUGUGUGAGAGUGGGUAGAGUCCAGUGUGUGUGUGAAAGUGGGUAGAGUCCAGUGAGUGUGGGUAGAGUCCAGUGUGUGUGAGAGUGGGUAGAGUCCAGUGUGUGUGAGAGUGGGUAGAGUCCAGUGUGUGUGAGUGGCUAGAGUCCAGUGUGUGUGUGUGAGUGGCUA